AAUGUACUCAAUACAUAUUAAUAAAAUAAGAUCUAAUUAUUCAAGUUAAUAAAAAUUAGUACAUUA
rnacentral:tRNA from 1 species